AUUGAACGCUGGCGGCGUGCUUAACACAUGCAAGUCGAUCGGUAACAGGUGUAGCAAUACAUGCUGACGAGAGGCGGACGGGUGAGGAACGCUUGGGAAUCUGCCUAUCAGCGGGGGACAACCCGGGGAAACCCGGGCUAAUACCGCAUACGCUCUACGGAGGAAAGCCGGGGACCGCAAGGCCUGGCACUGAUAGAUGAGCCCAAGUCGGAUUAGCUAGUUGGCGGGGUAACGGCCCACCAAGGCGACGAUCCGUAGCUGGUCUGAGAGGACGAUCAGCCACACCGGAACUGAGACACGGUCCGGACUCCUACGGGAGGCAGCAGUGGGGAAUAUUGGACAAUGGGCGAAAGCCUGAUCCAGCGACGCCGCGUGGGUGAAGAAGGCCUGCGGGUUGUAACGCCCUUUCGGUAGGGACGAAAGCUCUCGACCUAACACGUCGGGAGGUUGACUUAACCUACAAAAGAAGCACCGGCUAACUCUGUGCCAGCCGCCGCGGUAA
rnacentral:rRNA from 1 species